UACGUAGGGGCCGAGCGUUGUCCGGAGUUAUUGGGCGUAAAGCGCGCGCAGGCGGCUUCGCGCGCCCGACGUGAAAGCCCCCGGCUUAACCGGGGAGAGUCGUUGGGGACGGCGGAGCUUGAGGGCGGGAGAGGUCGGUGGAAUUCCCGGUGUAGUGGUGAAAUGCGUAGAGAUCGGGAGGAACACCUGUGGCGAAGGCGGCGAUCUGGGUAGAUACUGACGCUGAGGUGCGAAAGCGUGGGGAGCAAACAGG
rnacentral:rRNA from 1 species